AGAGGGCGGCGGUAUUCCCGGGGUAGGGUAAAAUCCACUGAUCCCGGGAGACCACCAGUGGCGAAGGCGGCCGCCCAGAACACGCCGACGGUGAGGGACGAAAGCUGGGGGAGCGAUCGGGAUUAGAUACCCCCGGUAGUCCCAGCCGUAAACGAUGCGGGCUUGGUGUCGGGCUGGCCACGAGCCAGCCCGGUGCAGAAGGGAAACCAUUAAGCCCGCCGCCUGGGGAGUACGGCCGCAAGGCUGAAACUUAAAGGAAUUGGCGGGGGAGCACCACAAGGGGUGGACGUUGCGGCUUAAUUGGAGUCAACGCCGGAAAGAGAGGUCCAGUUGUAAUUCUGGAUAACCUCUCCCGGAGACCUUACCGGGGGCGACAGCAGGAUGAUGGCCAGGUUAAAGGCCUUGCCUGACGAGCUGAGAGGAGGUGCAUGGCCGUCGCCAGUGCGUGCCGUGAGGUGUCCUGUUAAUUCAGGCAACGGACGAGACCCGCGCCCCCAGUUGCGACCGGGCCGGAAGGCGCCGAGCACUCUGGGGGGACUGCCCCGGAAACGGGGAGGAAGGAGCGGGCCACGGCAGGUCAGUAUGCCCCGAAUCCCCCGGGCCGCACGCGACGUUCAAUGGUGGGGACAGUGGGCUGCGACCCCGAAAGGGGAAGCCAAUCCCUAAACCCCACCUCAGUAGGGAUCGAGGGUUGCAACUCGCCCUCGUGAACGCGGAAUCCCUAGUAACCGCCCGUUACCACCGGGCGGUGAAUACGUCCCCGCUCCUUGCACACACUGCCCGUCGC
rnacentral:rRNA from 1 species